GGUUAAGCGACUAAGCGUACACGGUGGAUGCCCUGGCAGUCAGAGGCGAUGAAGGACGUGCUAAUCUGCGAUAAGCGUCGGUAAGGUGAUAUGAACCGUUAUAACCGGCGAUUUCCGAAUGGGGAAACCCAGUGUGAUUCGUCACACUAUCAUUAACUGAAUCCAUAGGUUAAUGAGGCGAACCGGGGGAACUGAAACAUCUAAGUACCCCGAGGAAAAGAAAUCAACCGAGAUUCCCCCAGUAGCGGCGAGCGAACGGGGAGCAGCCCAGAGCCUGAAUCAGUGUGUGUGUUAGUGGAAGCGUCUGGAAAGGCGUGCGAUACAGGGUGACAGCCCCGUACACAAAAAUGCACAUACUGUGAGCUCGAUGAGUAGGGCGGGACACGUGGUAUCCUGUCUGAAUAUGGGGGGACCAUCCUCCAAGGCUAAAUACUCCUGACUGACCGAUAGUGAACCAGUACCGUGAGGGAAAGGCGAAAAGAACCCCGGCGAGGGGAGUGAAAAAGAACCUGAAACCGUGUACGUACAAGCAGUGGGAGCACGCUUAGGCGUGUGACUGCGUACCUUUUGUAUAAUGGGUCAGCGACUUAUAUUCUGUAGCAAGGUUAACCGAAUAGGGGAGCCGAAGGGAAACCGAGUCUUAACUGGGCGUUAAGUUGCAGGGUAUAGACCCGAAACCCGGUGAUCUAGCCAUGGGCAGGUUGAAGGUUGGGUAACACUAACUGGAGGACCGAACCGACUAAUGUUGAAAAAUUAGCGGAUGACUUGUGGCUGGGGGUGAAAGGCCAAUCAAACCGGGAGAUAGCUGGUUCUCCCCGAAAGCUAUUUAGGUAGCGCCUCGUGAAUUCAUCUCCGGGGGUAGAGCACUGUUUCGGCAAGGGGGUCAUCCCGACUUACCAACCCGAUGCAAACUGCGAAUACCGGAGAAUGUUAUCACGGGAGACACACGGCGGGUGCUAACGUCCGUCGUGAAGAGGGAAACAACCCAGACCGCCAGCUAAGGUCCCAAAGUCAUGGUUAAGUGGGAAACGAUGUGGGAAGGCCCAGACAGCCAGGAUGUUGGCUUAGAAGCAGCCAUCAUUUAAAGAAAGCGUAAUAGCUCACUGGUCGAGUCGGCCUGCGCGGAAGAUGUAACGGGGCUAAACCAUGCACCGAAGCUGCGGCAGCGACGCUUAUGCGUUGUUGGGUAGGGGAGCGUUCUGUAAGCCUGCGAAGGUGUGCUGUGAGGCAUGCUGGAGGUAUCAGAAGUGCGAAUGCUGACAUAAGUAACGAUAAAGCGGGUGAAAAGCCCGCUCGCCGGAAGACCAAGGGUUCCUGUCCAACGUUAAUCGGGGCAGGGUGAGUCGACCCCUAAGGCGAGGCCGAAAGGCGUAGUCGAUGGGAAACAGGUUAAUAUUCCUGUACUUGGUGUUACUGCGAAGGGGGGACGGAGAAGGCUAUGUUGGCCGGGCGACGGUUGUCCCGGUUUAAGCGUGUAGGCUGGUUUUCCAGGCAAAUCCGGAAAAUCAAGGCUGAGGCGUGAUGACGAGGCACUACGGUGCUGAAGCAACAAAUGCCCUGCUUCCAGGAAAAGCCUCUAAGCAUCAGGUAACAUCAAAUCGUACCCCAAACCGACACAGGUGGUCAGGUAGAGAAUACCAAGGCGCUUGAGAGAACUCGGGUGAAGGAACUAGGCAAAAUGGUGCCGUAACUUCGGGAGAAGGCACGCUGAUAUGUAGGUGAAGUCCCUCGCGGAUGGAGCUGAAAUCAGUCGAAGAUACCAGCUGGCUGCAACUGUUUAUUAAAAACACAGCACUGUGCAAACACGAAAGUGGACGUAUACGGUGUGACGCCUGCCCGGUGCCGGAAGGUUAAUUGAUGGGGUUAGCGCAAGCGAAGCUCUUGAUCGAAGCCCCGGUAAACGGCGGCCGUAACUAUAACGGUCCUAAGGUAGCGAAAUUCCUUGUCGGGUAAGUUCCGACCUGCACGAAUGGCGUAAUGAUGGCCAGGCUGUCUCCACCCGAGACUCAGUGAAAUUGAACUCGCUGUGAAGAUGCAGUGUACCCGCGGCAAGACGGAAAGACCCCGUGAACCUUUACUAUAGCUUGACACUGAACAUUGAGCCUUGAUGUGUAGGAUAGGUGGGAGGCUUUGAAGUGUGGACGCCAGUCUGCAUGGAGCCGACCUUGAAAUACCACCCUUUAAUGUUUGAUGUUCUAACGUUGACCCGUGAUCCGGGUUGCGGACAGUGUCUGGUGGGUAGUUUGACUGGGGCGGUCUCCUCCUAAAGAGUAACGGAGGAGCACGAAGGUUGGCUAAUCCUGGUCGGACAUCAGGAGGUUAGUGCAAUGGCAUAAGCCAGCUUGACUGCGAGCGUGACGGCGCGAGCAGGUGCGAAAGCAGGUCAUAGUGAUCCGGUGGUUCUGAAUGGAAGGGCCAUCGCUCAACGGAUAAAAGGUACUCCGGGGAUAACAGGCUGAUACCGCCCAAGAGUUCAUAUCGACGGCGGUGUUUGGCACCUCGAUGUCGGCUCAUCACAUCCUGGGGCUGAAGUAGGUCCCAAGGGUAUGGCUGUUCGCCAUUUAAAGUGGUACGCGAGCUGGGUUUAGAACGUCGUGAGACAGUUCGGUCCCUAUCUGCCGUGGGCGCUGGAGAACUGAGGGGGGCUGCUCCUAGUACGAGAGGACCGGAGUGGACGCAUCACUGGUGUUCGGGUUGUCAUGCCAAUGGCACUGCCCGGUAGCUAAAUGCGGAAGAGAUAAGUGCUGAAAGCAUCUAAGCACGAAACUUGCCCCGAGAUGAGUUCUCCCUGACUCCUUGAGAGUCCUGAAGGAACGUUGAAGACGACGACGUUGAUAGGCCGGGUGUGUAAGCGCAGCGAUGCGUUGAGCUAACCGGUACUAAUGAACCGUGAGGCUUAACCUU
rnacentral:rRNA from 1 species